GAACGACUCUCGGCAACGGAUAUCUCGGCUCUCGCAUCGAUGAAGAACGCAGCAAAAUGCGAUACCUGGUGUGAAUUGCAGAAUCCCGCGAAUCAUCGAGUCUUUGAACGCAAGUUGCGCCCGAGACCACUUGGUUGAGGGCACGCCUGCCUGGGCGUCACGCGU
rnacentral:rRNA from 1 species